rnacentral:rRNA from 1 species
AACGAACGCUGGCGGCGUGGAUAAGACAUGCAAGUCGAACGUGAUUUUUCCGAGUAGCAAUACCUGGUAAAGUUCAGUGGCGAACGGGUGCGUAACACGUGGGCAAUCUGCCUUAAAGUGGGGGAUAGCUCGGCGAAAGCCGAAUUAAUACCGCAUGUGAUUAGCCAGGACAUCUUGGCGAAAUCAAAGUUGGUGCAAGCUAACGCUUUUUGAGGAGCCCGCGGCCUAUCAGCUAGUUGGUGAGAUAACGGCUCACCAAGGCUUUGACGGGGUAGCUGGUCUGAGAGGACGACCAGUCACACUGGAACUGAGACACGGCCCAGACACCUACGGGUGGCAGC